GCCCUGGUUGAUUAAUGGUAAAUCACCCACACCCCCUGGAUGCUUGCUGGAGUGAAUUGAUGUGGGCGACGGAGGUUCAAAUCCUUCCAAGGGCA